AUUGGGAAGUGAUGAUUAAUUCAUGUCAGAUGUCCUUAUGGAUUAAUGAUGAGAAUUGCACGUCAGUCUGAUCCCAAA